rnacentral:tRNA from 1 species
GUUGUGGUAGCCGAGUUGGUCCAAGGCCCGCCUAUUUCUGAGAGGGCGUGGGUUCGAAUCCUACUCUCAACA